CUUCGGUUGGAAGAGAUAUGUUUUAGCGGCGGACGGGUGAGUAACGCGUGAGCAACCUGUCCUUCACAGGGGGAUAAGACAGCGAAAGUUGUUCUAAUACCGCAUAAGACCACAUUUUCGCAUGACAGAGAGGUCAAAGGAGCAAUCCGGUGAAGGGUGGGCUCGCGUCCGAUUAGAUAGUUGGUGAGGUAACGGCUCACCAAGUCGACGAUCGGUAGCCGACCUGAGAGGGUGAUCGGCCACAUUGGGACUGAGACACGGCCCAGACUCCUACGGGAGGCAGCAGUGGGGAAUAUUGGGCAAUGGGGGAAACCCUGACCCAUGCAAACUGCCCGCGUGGAGGAAGAAGGUCUUCGGAUCGUAAACUCCUGUCCUAAGAGACGAGCAGGAGACGGUAUCUUAGGAGGAAGCCCCGGCUAACUACGUGCCAGCAGCCGCGGUAAUACGUAGGGGGCAAGCGUUGUCCGGAAUGAUUGGGCGUAAAGGGCGCGUAGGCGGCCGCACAAGUCUGAAGUGAAAGUCCCGCUUUCAAGGUGGGAAUUGCUUUGGAAACUGGCGGGCUUGAGUGCAGGAGAGGAAAGCGGAAUUACCGGUGUAGCGGUGAAAUGCGUAGAGAUAACUAGGAACAUCAGUGGCGAAAGGCGGCUUUCUGGACUGAAACUGACGCUGAGGCGCGAAAGCGUGGGGAGCAAUCAGGAUUAGAUACCCUGGUAGUCCACGCCGUAAACGAUGCCUGCUAGGUGUAGGAGGUAUCGACCCCUUCUGUGCCGCAGUUAACACAAUAAGCAUUCCGCCUGGGGAGACGGCAGCAAGCAGCGGAGCAUGUGGUUUAAUUCGACGCAACGCGAAGAACCUUACCAGGUCUUGACAUCCAGUUAAACUUGCAGAGAUGCAAGGUGUGCUUGCACAAACUGAGACAGGUGGUGCAUGGUUGUCGUCAGCUCGUGUCGUGAGAUGUUGGGUUAAGUCCCGCAACGAGCGCAACCCUUAUUUUCAGUUACUAACAGGUAGCGCUGAGGACUCUGAAGAGACUGCCGGGGACAACUCGGAGGAAGGUGGGGACGACGUCAAAUCAUCAUGCCCCUUAUGACCUGGGCUACACACGUGCUACAAUGGCCACCACAGAGAGGAGCGAACCCGCGAGGGGGAGCGGAUCUCAAAAAAGUGGUCCCAGUUCGGAUUGUGGGCUGCAACCCGCCCACAUGAAGUCGGAGUUGCUAGUAAUCGCGGAUCAGCAUGCCGCGGUGAAUACGUUCCCGGGCCU
rnacentral:rRNA from 1 species